rnacentral:rRNA from 1 species
AACAACGAAGAGUUUGAUCCUGGCUCAGGAUGAACGCUAGCGACAGGCUUAACACAUGCAAGUCGAGGGGCAGCGGGGAGUGAGGCUUGCCUUACUCUGCCGGCGACCGGCGCACGGGUGAGUAACACGUAUGCAACCUACCCUUUACAGCGGGAUAACCGGAAGAAAUUUCGCCUAAUACCGCAUAUACUCCUUGGGAGGCAUCUUCCGAGGGGGAAAGAAUU